GCCACACACCUCAUUCUUAUCAAGAAAAGUCUAGAAAAGAAGAGAAGAGGAGAGAAAGGAAGAGAAGAAACUAGAGAAACUAGAGAGAGAAAGCUACAAAUUUGAGAGAAAAAGAGCCCAAAAUGUUACCAAACAGCCCCAAAGUUUCAGCUGCGCUAACGGAACUUCCGAGGCGAGUUUCGGCGAGUUUCGGCUAAGGUUCAAGAGACGACGAGGCGAGCAUAGUUAAGAGUAAUCCGUAAGAGGUAUGUAAAGUUUAUCCUUUCUCUUCUUUUGGCAUGUCUUUGUCAUAAGUAUGUAAAGCCUAUCUUUUAUCUUCUUUUGGCAUGUCUUUGUCAUAAGUAUGUAAAGCUUAUUCUUUCUCUUGGUAUAUUUUGGCAUAAGUACGUAAAGUUAAUCUUUCUUUUGGGCAUGGUAUUUAUGAAACAAAAAUAUGACUUUUAUAGAAUUUCAAAUAAGUUUCUAUUCCUAGAGCCACUAGGAUGGCCAAUUUUCUUGAUUUCCGAAA